AUGAUACAGUGACCUAAAUGAAUAUGUCAUUUUAGACACCCUAGAGUAUUUUGUCAGGCCUAUAAGAUACUGUUCCAGCAGGCCGUGAGUCUUCCCCACUUAGGUUUCUUGAAUAUCUUGAAAUAUGUUUUGGGUCUUUUGGAGGACAGGAGUGACUACCACCAGGCAAUGAGGCUUUUCCCUGCUGUAGAUUGCUGUGAAAUGCAAGACUCACACUCCUAAGUUUAUCCCAAGUCGAAUGUAUUUUAAGAGGUUCCUGGGAAGCUUCAGAUGGCAAAGCUUGCAACCUGAAAUCAUCUGAUAGUGACCUAAAAAGUAGAGGAGAGGAAUGGGAGAAGAGAGGACAACCAGGAGGAUCAAAUUGCUGGAUAUCAUGGCUGGGAAAGAAUCAGGAGAAAGGGAACAAAUGUCAAAGUGUAGCAAGCCAGUGACAAAUGGCUCCAAAGCAAGACUCACAGAGUAAGCAGGUAUCAUGUCAGGCCCUAUAACCAGAUAUUUGCUGACCAAAUUUAUUUUGUCAAGAAAACAUCAAAUACUGAAAGUUCUGAAACUCCUCUUUACAGACAUU